CAGGAACCCGGCGCAACUCCGGGGCGGUUCCGCCACUGUGACCCGGCCGUACGGCCGGCAGCCAGACACUG
rnacentral:ncRNA from 1 species